rnacentral:lncRNA from 1 species
GGGAGGCUAGAGAUAGCAAGCCCGUAAUUAGUAAUAGGCUCUAUUCACCAAGGAAUUGGGUUAAGGGUAGACCAAGAAAGUUUGCAUGGCAAUAUGAUAAAUAAGCGAAUUAAAUAAGAAGAGUAGAUAUAUGAGAGUGAUUGGGUGAAAUCUGAACCCUAGCAACAAAUCCAUCUCAUAUUAUCAACAUCAUCCAUCCNNN